ensembl:lncRNA
GGUGUCGUCCCCUUCCUGGGCUCACUCCUCGAUUACCUGCAGCUUCUGGACACUGAGAUGGAGGAUUAUCUGAAGGAGCGUGAGCAUGGAGGUGGGAACAGGGAACAGGAUCCUGAGGUUUGGGAGGCGAGAGCCCUGCACUGGGCCCUGAGCUCUCAGCACUUGGCAAAGCUCCUCUCCUGAGAACCUCCUGGCCGCCCCUGGAGCUGGGGCCUCAGGCACAUCUUAGCAAUGUGAGACCCAAGGCUUUGCAUAAUCCCCCCUCCAGGCUCCCUGGGCUGGGGGAGCUCAGAGCUGCCCUGACUACAGAGCUGCAGGAGGUGGGUGUCAGAGCUGGACUCAGCCUCUCCCUCAGGCCCCGCCCCUGGGGGAGUGAAGUCAGCCCCUGCAAGUCAGGAAGCACAUCCGUGGUCCAGCUGUCCCUUCCUUGCUGAGGGCUCAGUCUCCCUGUCUGUCAUCAGAGAGGUUGGAGCUACAGAGUCUGUGGCCUCAGUGACCCUGUCCCCCCUGCGCUGGAGCCCAGAGCCUGGCCCAGGUUCAGGCUCUCCUUGUGGCAGUGUCUGCCCUCUGCUGGGCCCUGGCAGUCCUGCAACCUGGGAAGGGGUGGGCUGGGGGCUAGUCAUGGGCCAAGGGGCCUGUUUCUGAUGGACAUUGGCUGUCUGCCUUCGAGGGAAAUAUGGUGAACUUCCAGAAAUGGAGUGAGGUGAGCAGCCGUGCCCUCGAUGCGGGGAGGGUGGGGCUGUGGAAAUCAGAGACCUCCCCUGCAAGACUUUCUCUGGCCUCAUCCCUUGGGUCUUAUCUUUAUUGGGAGAGUUAGAUACAGGCAGCUGGGGAUCCCAUCACAUUGGGGGUGGGGAGGAGGGGCUGACAUCGAGGACACCUUCCUGGAUGAGGAACUAUUUCAACCCAACUGUGAGAAAAGGCCCUGUCUGCAUCCUGUCCUUCCUCCCAGAAAUUCAAGGUCAUUAAAAGGAUCCAGCUGCUCCAGGCGGCUGCCAAUGAAUGCCACCUGCAGCCCGAGGAGCACUUUGGGGCCUGGUUCCAGGCCAUGGAGCCCCUCCGUGAGGAAGAGAGCUACAGCCUGUCCUGCCAGCUGGAGCCCCCAAACAUGAAGGUGAGCAAAACGCGAGGCUUCUUCAGGACCAAGAAGAACCGGCCAUCCUCAAGAUUGGGGCUGACUGCCAUGCGCUUGGCAAGGAGCCAUCACACUCUAGAUGCCACCACAAGCUCAGCCUCUUCAGGUGCAGGGACAUGGCUGGGACCCUCGGGGUGCACCAGGCCAGCUCUUCCCACCCGGAUGUGAAGGAGGACAUCCCUGGGAGUUGUGGUGUGGUUCACCUCCUGUGCUCAUAUAAAUGAGACACAAAACCUCACCUUCCUCCUUGAAUUAAGAACUAGUGCACGGUCACAGCUCAUCGUAUGUGGGACAAGGGAGGAAGGCCAGCCCCCUCCCUGGCAAGUUAAGGACCACCCAAGUCUCCCUUCCUUAGAGGACAGGUUCGUUUCAGUGUGGUUCCCCUGGGCCAGGAGCGGAGACAGCCCCUCAGAUCCCCCUGGAUUUAGAGGCUGGAGGUACUUUCCCAGCAGAGCAACCAGCACAGAAAUGUGGGUCUUUCAGAUGGCACUUGCCAGGACCCAUGUCCUGCCCCG